rnacentral:tRNA from 1 species
AGGGAUAUAGCUCCGUGGUAAAGCACUUGCUUAGCAUGUCAAGCAAGGGCCUUUGUUCAAUCCCCAGCAUUCCAA